UACGGGGGGAGCAAGCGUUGUUCGGAUUUACUGGGCGUAAAGGGCGCGUAGGCGGCCUGCGCAGGUCAGUUGUGAAAUCUCCGAGCUUAACUCGGAAAGGUCAACUGAUACUGCGCGGCUAGAGUGCGGAAGGGGCAACUGGAAUUCUUGGUGUAGCGGUGAAAUGCGUAGAUAUCUCCAAGAACACCUAUUGCGAAGGCAGCCAGCUGGGACCAUAUUGACGCUGAGGCUCGAAAGCAUGGGGAGCAAACAGG
rnacentral:rRNA from 1 species